UUAUCUUCUGGUAUUGACGAAAUCAGGCCUCCUGAUAUCACAAAAUCAUCAGUGAGUGGUAUUUAAUCAUAAAUUCAUUUCAUCAAUAUUCUUCUCAACUUUUUCCGAGUCGUUAUGAUCAGAAACUAGUUCUGGUUUUAUUUCAGUCUUUGGAUUUUUUCAUCAUGCAGGAUGUUGAAGAACGAUCGUUGCCUGUUCAGAGGAUUUCGCUAUCAUCAUCCAGGGUGUUGAAGAGCGAUCUCGUUUCAGUUUUUGAAAGAGAUACUAUAGCUAUCAUCCUGGUGCAUCGGACGCUGAAGGUGAUGCAGGGCAUCUGUGAAACUGCAGGUGGCCGGUACAAGCUAAACCAUUAAUACAAAGAAUAGGAGAAAGCUUCAAGUGGUCCAUACAAGCUAAACCAUGUAAUGAAUAUAAGCCUGAAACUUAUCAAAUUAGCAAUUUGUAUAGCUCAUAUAAGGGUGUUAACAACUUAACAUUCUAUGUUACUCUAUUUUUUAGGAUCUGGAUCCAAAGUAGAGUGAGUCUCCUACAAUUGUGCAGUUCUGGGACGAGUCACAC